CAAAACUUCGAUCGAGACAAUUAAUCCUAAGCAAUUAACCAAGUUGUCCGGCAUGUCAUUGGUCCCUCGACGCUUCUUCCGAUUCUUCGGCGCAUCGUCCUUUCCUGCAGCCUAUUGCCCAAUCGGCCAAUUGACUUCGCAACUCCGAUAUCGUUGGCACAAUACCCGCUCUACUUGGCCCGAUGCCCGAGUCCACGGCCCGAAGCCUUCUGUCGAUACGUCGACCGAUCCACCGGCCCGACGUCCAAUCUUCUGACAUGUUCCUCCGGCACAACAUGAUUUUCCUGCUUUAAUUGUCUCAUCCUGAUUGAAGCAUCCUGCGUCACUCAAAACGCAGAUUAAAUCAUAAAUAUAUAUCAAGUAGUUUCAUCAUCAAAAUAUGAGAUUCAACAAUCUCCCCCUUUUUGAUGAUGACAACCACUUGAUGACGGAGUUAAACUUAACUCCCGGAGUUUAAAUAAACUCCCCCUAUCA
rnacentral:lncRNA from 1 species